rnacentral:rRNA from 1 species
CCUACGGGGGGCAGCAGUGAGGAAUAUUGGUCAAUGGGCGGAAGCCUGAACCAGCCAAGUCGCGUGAGGGAUUAAGGCCCUAUGGGUCGUAAACCUCUUUUGUCAGGGAACAAAGGCGGGGACGUGUCCCCGGAUGAGUGUACCUGAAGAAAAAGCAUCGGCUAACUCCGUGCCAGCAGCCGCGGUAAUACGGAGGAUGCGAGCGUUAUCCGGCUUUAGGGGGUUAAAAGGGUGCGCAGGCGGUCUGUUAAGUCAGCGGUCAAAGCCCGGGGCUAACCCCCGGCCCGCCGUUGAAACUGGCAGUCUCGAGUUGGAGAGAAGUAUGCGGAAUGCGCGGUGUAGCGGUGAAAUGCAUAGAUAUCGCGCAGAACUCCGAUUGCGAAGGCAGCAUGCCGGCUCCACACUGACGCUGAGGCACGAAAGCGUGGGUAUCGAACAGGAUUAGAUACCCGGGUAGUC